AUUGAACGCUAGCGGCAUGCCUUACACAUGCAAGUCGAACGGUAACGGCGGGCAACCUGGCGACGAGUGGCGAACGGGUGAGUAAUGCAUCGGAACGUGCCCGAUUAGUGGGGGAGUAGCCGGCGAAAGCCGGAUUAAUACCGCAUACGACCUACGGGUGAAAGCAGGGGAGUCGCAAGACCUUGCGCUAUUGGAGCGGCCGAUGUCAGAUUAGGUUGUUGGUGGGGUAAAGCCACCAAGCCGACGAUCUGUAGCUGGUCUGAGAGGACGACCAGCUACACUGGGACUGAGACACGGCCCAGACU
rnacentral:rRNA from 1 species